CUGCAUAGAUUACUCCCUCACUCCUUUCAGGUCUUGCUUAGGUGUUACAUUUACCAGGGUCCUUUCUUCACUCAACUAAAUGAAAUUUCACCCCUAUUCAGUUACUCGUUAUCCUCCUUCCCCUUAUUUAUUUUUCUUCUAGCGUUCAUCAUUGUCUGAUUUGUAUGUUUGUUCAUUUUCUGCCUUCCACUAUUAGAGUAUAACCUCCUUCAAGGCAGGGCUUAUGUGUUUUGUUCACAGGGAGCGUCUGUCUUUUGACUUGAUACCUUUUAAAGGCCCAAGGUCUCACCUUCUGUCUUCCUGAUGAGUGAAUAUCAGAAAACAUCCCCAGGCAACUUUGGCUUCACCACUUUUUAAAAAUUCUGAAUUCCUUCUCUCACUUCAUUUUUCUUUUUUGGGGGGGAGAUGUUCCUCUGAGGAUUUCCCUUACUUUCUUGUGAGCUUAGCUACUCAUUUCAACCAAUUAUUUCUUUGUUUUAUUUUGCAUUUCAGAUGCCUUGGCUUAUAGUACCAUUGAAUCUAGAACUCUUCAAACCUACUAUUUUUCAUGCCAUGCAUAGCAAUCCAAUGGAAUGACUUGCCCAAGAUCUUACUGUAAGUGAAAUCACUGAGACCAGACCCUGGGAUCCUUCACCUGCACCGUGUGCUUCUAUAGCUGAACCCUCCAGGCCAACCACCUACAUAUCCUCUUCACCUUCACAAAUCUGCAUUUCUCUGGAGGAGGGAAAACAAGUGUGCCUUCUCCUUUCCAGGCAUGAAGGUGACAGGGAACUCAAGAGAGACCAGAGACACAAUAUUCUUUCUACUUCUGGUGAGCAUUCUGGGCAUUUUGUUUAAAGGGUCAAGAGAUUGACCUUUGACAUAGAAAACAAACCUAUGGUUACCAAAGGGGAAAGGGCGGGAGGAGGGAUAAAUUAGGAGUUUGGGAUGAACAUAUACACACUACUAUAUAUAAAAUAGAUAACCAACAAGGACCUACAGUAGAGCACAGGGAAUUAUACUCAAUAUCUUGUAAUAACCUAUAAAGGAAAAGAAUCUGAAAAAGAAUAUAUAUAUGUAUGUGUGUGUGUAAAACUGAGUCACUUUGCUGUACACCUGAAACUAACACGACAUUGUAAAUCCAAUAUUCUUAAAUUUUUUUAAAAAAGAGAGACUGACCUUUAAUCAAUAACAGUAAUAUAAAUGCCUAAUUUUAUUGAGUGUUUACUGUAUGUCAGACACUGUGCCAAGCACUUUCUGUGCAUUUUAUCCUCACAACAGCUCUGGGUAGGAGGCAUUCAUUGACUACCUCUUUCACGUGGGGAAACUGAGGUUGGACACACUGUAACUUGCUCAGGCAUGGAAUUUGAAACCGGGGAGUCUGGCCCCUGUUUCCAGCCUCUAUGCUAUAGCAGGGAAAGGAAUAGAAGAGGUACCGUCCCUGAGUUUUGCCACUU
rnacentral:lncRNA from 1 species